GAUGAACGCUAGCUACAGGCUUAACACAUGCAAGUCGAGGGGUAACGAGAGGAAAGCUUGCUUUCCUUGUCGACGACCGGCGCACGGGUGAGUAACGCGUAUCCAACCUGCCCCCAACUAGGGAAUAACCUUGCGAAAGUAAGACUAAUACCCUAUAAUUUCCUCAGAUGUCAUCUGACGAGGAAUAAAGAUUUAUCGGUUGUGGAUGGGGAUGCGUCUGAUUAGCUUGUUGGCGGGGUAACGGCCCACCAAGGCAACGAUCAGUAGGGGUUCUGAGAGGAAGGUACCCCACAUUGGAACUGAGACACGGUCCAAACUCCUACGGGAUGCAGCAGUGAGGAAUAUUGGUCAAUGGGCGGAAGCCUGAACCAGCCAAGUAGCGUGCAGGAUGACGGCCCUAUGGGUUGUAAACUGCUUUUAUACAGGAAUAAAGUUAGCCACGUGUGGUUAUUUGUAGGUACUGUAUGAAUAAGGACCGGCUAAUUCCGUGCCAGCAGCCGCGGUAA
rnacentral:rRNA from 1 species